rnacentral:rRNA from 1 species
UCGAGAAUUUUUCACAAUGGGCGCAAGCCUGAUGGAGCGACGCCGCGUGGGGGAUGAAUGGCUUCGGCCCGUAAACCCCUGUCAUUUGCGAGCAAUGCGCAUUAUUUAAAAGAUGAUGCGUUGAUAGUAGCGAAAGAGGAAGGGACGGCUAACUCUGUGCCAGCAGCCGCGGUAAUACAGAGGUCCCGAGCGUUGUUCGGAUUCACUGGGCGUAAAGGGUGCGUAGGUGGCGAGGUAAGUCGGAUGUGAAAUCUCGGAGCUCAACUCCGAAACUGCAUUGGAAACUACCUUGCUCGAGGGUUGGAGGGGGGACUGGAAUGCUUGGUGUAGCAGUGAAAUGCGUAGAUAUCAAGCGGAACACCAGUGGCGAAGGCGAGUCCCUGGACAACUCCUGACACUGAGGCACGAAAGCUAGGGGAGCAAACAG